rnacentral:rRNA from 1 species
CCUACGGGGUGCAGCAGUGGGGAAUAUUGGUCAAUGGGCGCAAGCCUGACCCAGCAACGCCGCGUGAAGGAAGAAUGCUUUCGGGUUGUAAACUUCUUUUAAGAGGGAAGAGCAGAAGACGGUACCUCUUGAAUAAGCCACGUCUAACUACGUGCCAGCAGCUGCGGUAAUACGUAGGUGGCAAGCGUUGUCCGGAUUUACUGGGUUGAAAGGGCGUGUAGCCGGGCUGACAAGUCAGAUGUGAAAUCCGGGGGCUCAACCCCCGAAUUGCAUUUGAAACUGUUGGUCGUGAGUAUCGGAGAGGCAGGCGGAAUUCCUAGUGUAGCGGUGAAAUGCGUAGAUAUUAGGAGGAACACCAGUGGCGAAGGCGGCCUGCUGGACGACAACUGACGGUGAGGCGCGAAAGCGUGGGGAGCAAACAGGAUUAGAUACCCUUGUAGUC